GAUGAACGCUGGCGGCGUGCCUAACACAUGCAAGUCGAGCGAACAGACGAGGAGCUUGCUCCUUUGACGUUAGCGGCGGACGGGUGAGUAACACGUGGGUAACCUACCUAUAAGUCUGGGAUAACUUCGGGAAACCGGAGAUAAUACCGGAUAAUAUUUCGAACCGCAUGGUUCGAUAGUUAAUGAUGGCUCUGCUAUCACUUAUAGAUGGACCUGCGCCGUAUUAGCUAGUUGGUAAGGUAACGGCUUACCAAGGCAACGAUACGUAGCCGACCUGAGAGGGUGAUCGGCCACACUGGAACUGAGACACGGUCCAGACUCCUACGGGAGGCAGCAGUAGGGAAUCUUCGGCAAUGGGCGAAAGCCUGACGGAGCAACGCCGCGUGAGUGAUGAAGGUCUUCGGAUCGUAAAGCUCUGUUAUUAGGGAAGAACAAACGUGUAAGUAACUGUGCACGUCUUGACGGUACCUAAUCAGAAAGCCACGGCUAACUACGUG
rnacentral:rRNA from 1 species